AUAAUUUCUCCCCUCAUCAGUGUGGUCCUUAUCUUAUACAUGGUUUAAACCCAGGUUCUGACCUUGGAUGCUACACAUCACCAGACCUUGAGGGCUGUGAGACAUUGUUCUGCCCUUCAAGAACGGGUUCUUCACCAUGGCAAAGGCAAUGUAGGUGAAAUUAUGCCACAAACUGCUACCCUGUGGCUUGGAGAGCCAGCUUUGCUGUGCAGAAGUUACACAUCUAUCCUUUAUCAGUUAAUGGCCAUCCAGGUAAUCAUGUCCAUGCAGAGGAACUGUGUGAACCAAAUGCAGCUGGAGCCCCUGGGCAGGACAAGGACCAUCAGAGCUCUGGAAGCAUGAGGGAAGGAGCAAAACUGUCCUGGCUGCUCUAGGAAAGUCAAGGAAACGGGAACGAGGGUGCGCUCAGCAGCUAGAGGGCAGGCUCAUUUUUCCUUUAAAACUUGUGAAUCAUUUCCUCGCAGCUGCAGUGACUGCCAGAGUAUUCAACAGAAGCGGCUAAGAUAAAAGGAAUGUGAAGAAAGGUAAGAAGUCUCUGCAGAGUAUGGUCUCAGUGGAUCCAGGACAGCAUGCACAGAUGGAAGCAAGCACAGAUGGACACACAGCCCUUCACAAAAAUCUUUACAAAUAUCUGACCCCACCUGGAUCUGUUCUUCAGCCUGAUGCCACUCAGCCACAGCAACUCAAGUUGCUUCUUCUUUGCACUAUUGAGAUAAACAAACACAACUUGCAGCAGUUUGGUUCUGUUUGACAUCUCUGUGUGAACCUUUAUUUUAUGUUUGUUCUCCUGCAUGCUGCCCAGACACCCAGUUUGCAAGCUGGGCCUCCCCACAUAGAUCAGUCCUCAAGCCCUGCUAUUCAGGGAUGCAUUUUAGCAGCAGGAGGUUACAUCUGUGGGUCUCAACCACCUUUUCAGAAUCCAUCCUCCUGUUUGUCUUCCUUACCACAUCUGCUCCUCUUGCUCUAAUUCAACGUGGAGAGGAAGCUGGCAUGUGAAGACAGAUGCAGGAAGAAGAGCAGACCUUCCCCAGUGCAAAGCCUCAGGAUUGCUGAAGACAUUGCCUAACAGAGCUUUUGUUAGCUGUUAACAAGAGGGAGGAGGAGCCUCAGAGGUCAUUCAGGCUGCAUCUGGUGAGCAUUGUUGAAAGAGUCUCUCCCGUCUGUGCCUUCAGUCUAUUUUUGUGCUGUAGUCGUAUCAUGCCAUCACAAGUCAACAUGCAGCUGCACCACGAACUGGCUCAGGGAACUGGUCUGGCUGAAAACCCACCCAGCUGAAAGGAGAAAAAAAAAAGAGGAAAAAAAGGAAAAAAAAAAAAUCUUUUCCAGCCAGCUCAGAUCUCUGAUCUCACUUACCACACAGCAGGACUUACAGUUGUACCACCUCCAGGGAGGUAACCUCUUCCCACAGCUGUGGUGGCUGCUGCCAACUCUUCUUGAGGCAGCAACCCAAGUCUUUGCCCUAUGGACCUGCUCCUUAGGAAUUGAGUUUCUCAUUUCAUUCCCACUACUAAGGCAACUCUGGCUUGUGUAGACAGGCAGUAACACAUGGAUGCCCAACAUGGGAUUUGAAGAGGUCUGGUUAGAAAGCUCACAUUGGAAAGACUCUGCAAGAGCUCUCUCCUUGUAGAUACAAAGGCAGUAAAAGUUUCUCUGAGUGCUUCUUGCUUCACUUUGUGCUCUCCUCUCCCCUUUGGGAAUUUAGGUAAAUAGUUUAUAUAGGGAAAAUCUUUCAGUAGCUUCACCCCCCUCCU
ensembl:lncRNA